rnacentral:tRNA from 1 species
UGGGAGGUCGUCUAAUGGUAAGACUCCAGACUCUGGAUCUGGCUAUUGGGGUUCGAGUCCCUGCCUCCCAGCCA